rnacentral:rRNA from 1 species
AUUGAACGCUGGCGGCAGGCCUAACACAUGCAAGUCGAACGAGUGGCGGACGGGUGAGUAAUGUCUGGGAAACUGCCUGAUGGAGGGGGAUAACUACUGGACACGGUAGCUAAUACCGCAUACCAUCAGAUGUGCCCAGAUGGGAUUAGCUAGUUGGUGGGGUAAAGGCGCACCAAGGUGACGAUCCCUAGCUGGUCUGAGAGGAUGACCAGCCACACUGGAACUGAGACACUGUACAGACUCCUACGGUAUGCAGCAGUGGGGAAUAUUGCACAAUGGGCGCAAGCCGGAUGCAGCCAUGCCGGGUGUAUUAAGAAGGCAUUCGGGUUGUAAAGUACUUUCAGCGGUGAGGCGUUACCCGCAGAAGAAGCACCGGCUAACUCCGUGCCAGCAGCCGCGGUAAUUC